rnacentral:rRNA from 1 species
CGCGUAGGUGGUUGUGUAAGUCAGAUGUGAAAUCCCCCGGCUCAACCGGGGAACUGCAUUUGAUACUGCAUGACUCGAGUGCAACAGAGGGAAACGGAAUUCCUGGUGUAGAGGUGAAAUUCGUAGAUAUCAGGAGGAACACCGGUGGCGAAGGCGGUUUCCUGGGCUGACACUGACACUGAGGCGCGAAAGCGUGGGUAGCAAACAGGAUUAGAUACCCUGGUAGUCCACGCUGUAAACGGUGAAUACUGGGUGUGGGAGGUGUAAUGCCUUCUGUGCCGAAGCUAACGCGUUAAGUAUUCCGCCUGGGGAGUACGGCCGCAAGGUUGAA